rnacentral:rRNA from 1 species
UACGUAGGGUGCAAGCGUUGUCCGGAAUUAUUGGGCGUAAAGAGCUCGUAGGCGGUCUGUCGCGUCGGCUGUGAAAUCCCCGAGGCUCAACCUCGGGUCUGCAGUCGAUACGGGCAAACUAGAGUAUUGCAGGGGAGACUGGAAUUCCUGGUGUAGCGGUGAAAUGCGCAGAUAUCAGGAGGAACACCGGUGGCGAAGGCGGCAUCCUGGACCAUUACUGACGCUGAGGAGCGAAAGCCAGGGGAGCAAACGGG